AACGAACGCUGGCGGCAUGCCUAACACAUGCCAGUCGAACGAGACCUUCGGGUCUAGUGGCGCACGGGUGCGUAACGCGUGGGAACCUGCCCUUAGGUUCGGAAUAACUCCCCGAAAGGGGUGCUAAUACCGGAUAAUGUCUUCGGACCAAAGAUUUAUCGCCUUUGGAUGGGCCCGCGUUGGAUUAGCUAGUUGGUAGGGUAAAAGCCUACCAAGGCGACGAUCCAUAGCUGGUCUGAGAGGAUGAUCAGCCACACUGGGACUGAGACACGGCCCAGACACUGCCGGGGGGGAGCAGGGGGGAAUAUUGAACGAGGCGUGAGGGCUGGAUCCAGCCGUGCCGCGUAAGUGUGGAAGGCGUUAGGGAUGCAAAUCUGUUUUACACGGGAUGAUAAUGACGGUACCGGGAAAAUAAGCUCCGGCUAACUCCGUG
rnacentral:rRNA from 1 species